CAGGGUGACAGGUGGUGCAUGGUUGUCGUCAGCUCGUGUCGUGAGAUGUUGGGUUAAGUCCCGCAACGAGCGCAACCCUCGACCUUAGUUGCCAGCAUUCAGUUGGGCACUCUAAGGUGACUGCCGGCUAAAAGUCGGAGGAAGGUGGGGAUGACGUCAAAUCAUCAUGCCCCAUAUGACCUGGGCUACACACGUGCUACAAUGGGCGGUACAAAGGGUCGCGAACCCGCGAGGGGGAGCCAAUCCCAAAAAGCCGCUCUCAGUUCGGAUUGCAGGCUGCAACUCGCCUGCAUGAAGCCGGAAUCGCUAGUAAUCGCGGAUCAGCAUGCCGCGGUGAAUACGUUCCCGGGCCUU
rnacentral:rRNA from 1 species